AUUGAACGCUGGCGGCAGGCCUAACACAUGCAAGUCGAGCGGGAACUUCGGUUCUAGCGGCGGACGGGUGAGUAAUGCGUAGGAAGCUACCCGACAGAGGGGGAUACCAGUUGGAAACGACUGUUAAUACCGCAUAAUGUCUACGGACCAAAGUGUGGGACCUUCGGGCCACAUGCUGUCGGAUGCGCCUACGUGGGAUUAGCUAGUUGGUGAGGUAAUGGCUCACCAAGGCGACGACCCCUAGCUGGUUUGAGAGGAUGAUCAGCCACACUGGAACUGAGACACGGUCCAGACUCCUACGGGAGGCAGCAGUGGGGAAUAUUGGACAAUGGGCGCAAGCCUGAUCCAGCCAUGCCGCGUGUGUGAAGAAGGCCUUCGGGUUGUAAAGCACUUUCAGUAGGGAGGAAGAGUUGAGUGUUAAUAGUACUCAGCUUUGACGUUACCUACAGAAGAAGCACCGGCUAACUCUGUGCCAGCCGCCGCAGUAAAAC
rnacentral:rRNA from 1 species